rnacentral:rRNA from 1 species
GGGGAAUAUUGCGCAAUGGGCGAAAGGCUUACGCAGCCACGCCGCGUGAGGGAUGAAGGUUCUCGGAUUGUAAAACUCCUGCAGAAGGGAAGAAAAGGCACCGUGCUAAUCAGCGGUGUAUUGACGGUACCUGCAAAGGAAGCACCAGCUAACUCCGUGCCAGCAGCCGCGGUAAUACGGAGGGUGCAAGCGUUAAUCGGAAUUACUGGGCGUAAAGCGCACGUAGGCUGCUUUGUAAGUCAGGGGUGAAAUCCCACGGCUCAACCGUGGAACUGCCUUUGAUACUGGUUAGCUUGAAUCCGGGAGAGGGUGGCGGAAUUCCAGGUGUAGGAGUGAAAUCCGUAGGUAUCUGGAGGAACAUCAGUGGCGAAGGCGGCCACCUGGACCGGUAUUGACGCUGAGGUGCGAAAGCGUGGGGAGCAAACA